CGCGCCGCUCCAGGGUGGCUGCCGGCCGGGGCACAGACAGCGCGUGGCGCCGCGGCUCGGAACCCACGCCGACGGGGUGAGAGGUCACUGACGGUCUCCCGGUCUGUUCGCCGGCGCUCGGAUUACACGGUGCCGAAUGUGUCGGCUGUGGACGUCGGUGGUAGCGAGAGGGGAAGGUAAGCUGUGUAAGCAGAACUGAAGGUGGUCGAGUGUGGGUUGGAGACGGUGCAGAUUGCAGAGACGUCACGGACACGACGCAGACGUCACAGAGACGGCGCAGAGACGUCACAGAGACGGCGCAGAGACGCGCGGAGACAUUCGGAGACUGCUGAUCGUCCAGACGGAGAUGAGAAACCAAUAGAUUGACUGUUGGCCUUCCGUCUCUGAACAUCGGCAACGGAACUGAGCACAGCUGUUGGUGUGAGGACAAUGACAGGAUUCAGGCGCUCACAGCGCUCUGGGCCGCCGCCGCCAUGAGGUGCCGCCAUGAGAGCCCGGAGCGGCAGUGGCCGGCCGCGAGUCAGUGUCUCCGUGGUGACCGAGCCGACGUCUGCCUGGAGGAGGGCCGUGCAGCGUCUGCGCAGCGUCGGCAGUCAUGUGGGCCUGCUUCUGCUGCUGGUCGUCUACACCGCCGGAGGAGCCAAGAUAUUUCAGGACAUAGAACUACCCAGCGAGACGGCAGAGUUUGAUCGGGUCUACAACCACGUGAUGGCCCGGCGUCACCAUCUGGUGUGGAAGAUCGUCAACAACACUGACGUCAUCAACCUGGACCGGCUGGUCGGGAGCCUGCUACAGGAGUACGAGACCGAGCUGCUGCGAGCGGUUCGCUCGGGCGUGGACGUGACGCCCGGGCAGCCGGUGCACAAGUACAAGUGGACCUACAUACAUUCCGUGUUCUUCUCCUCCACUGUGCUGACCACCAUCGGUUACGGUAACAUGGCGCCGCGCACUACGCCCGGCCGCCUGUUCUGCAUGCUGUUCGCCCUGAUCGGCAUCCCUCUGACGCUCUCGGUCAUCGCCGAUCUCGGCGCGCUCUUCGCCACAUCGGUCUCGACGCUGUACGCCCGGCUGGCGAAGCGCGCCCAGGCGACGGCCACGGCGACGGCGACGGGCGGCGACUCGAGGUCGGUCGCCCAGCUGACAGAGCGGCAGGAGAGAGCGCUCACCCUGCUGGUGGCCCUGGGGUCGCUGGUGCUGUACAUCGCCGUCGGCGGCGGCCUGUUUCUGCUGCUCGAGGACUGGCCGUUCUUCGAGUCGUUUUACUUCUGCUUCGUUACCAUGACGACCAUUGGCUUUGGCGACUUUGUGCCAGAGAACUCGGAGUACAUGCUGGUGUGUACUCUGUACAUUCUGGUGGGCUUAGCGUUGACUACAACCAUCAUAGAAAUUGUACGCCGCCAGUACGCACAAUCUUGGAGACAGAUGAAAAUGCUAACGUCCCGAAUACAGAGCCUCUCCGGGCCUCUGGCCGAGCACCUGAAGAAGCUCGGCGAGCACGGACACGGCGUCACGGUCGACGGAGACCUGGUGCGCGAGCUCAAGGAGCUGCGGAAAACGAUGGCCAGCGCGCGCAUCCGCGACGGCCUUGGCUGGGACGACGCUGAGCUGGACGCUCUGAGGCCGCCGCCGCCCGUCGUGCAGAUCGUUAUAUACGAGAGCAAUGUGUGACCCCGCCGGAAAAAAUAGGGCACAAACUGACAAACUGACUGAGUGGUGGGUGUCGGUGAGGUCUUGGAGUAAGAGAAGCCUCAGUGAGGCCGACUGGUGCGGUAGAGAACUACACAACAAACGCCAUCGAGGUCGACGUAGUUUGUUCCUUUGUGAGGAUUAGCAGAGUGGAAAUCACGCAAAGCUGGAGCUCUGAACGCGCAAGUUGGCUGGAAUUGGACUGGGAGUGACGAUAUCCGAAUGCAGAAAAGACGGCUAACUUUACGCUAGCGAGAAAAGCUCGAUCUCCAAGUCGUGGUGAACUCGUGUGGUGGCCGGUGGGAAAGUUAAGUGGCGAGAAAGUUCGGUGUGAGGAAGUUAAAAUGAGAGCCGAUCGAGAUCACUUUGCAUAAUGCAUGUGUGUAUAUUACCUUCAUGUGUCACAGCUCUCUAAAUCACACCCGAGAGGAUGGUGAGGAGAGAGUCACCACAAUGUGUGCACCUGCAAUGCCUGCUCCGGCAGCCGCUGGCUGCAGAUGCGUGUCGUAAUUUGAGCCGAUUAAUUUGGCAAGCACAUCAAGUGUGUCCUCACUGCCAGUGUCACCCCUUUGCCGCCCCCGCUGUUCUUUCGCCAUCCUCUCUCCUCUCUUUCCCGCUCGUGUCGUUCCCUCCCAGCUCGUCCGUCUCUCUCGCUCGCUUGCGGCUACUCUUGCCGAACCGUGCCCCGCCGGCAGGGGUUGUCACUCGCUCAAGCUGCUCCUGGGCCGCCGGAGCAGUUCCGUUAUUGAUGGCCGUCCGGCUCGUUAUUGAUGACUGCUCCGCUGUCGGCGCUAAUGUCCCGCAGGAGAGCCAUCGGCCACAUGUUGACUCAUGACUCGCAAUGACUCCCGACUCCCCGCGCGCGACGCCCAGCGGCACGGGGCGGCACGUGCCUGGUCGCGGGCCUGCUCGUGUGGUGAUCUUCGCAAAGUGGUGUGCACGUAGCGUGUGUGCGUCUUUUGGCACAAAAUGACUCACGGGACAGUUGACAUGGCACGAGUACGAUUGGAAUUGAUAUCUAGCGGGUCAACUCUCAUUAGCGGAUUGUGACGCAUGAGCGAGCUAACGUCAAUCGUAGAGACACGGUUGCAUAUGAAGCACUCGGAGGGACUCAAUGAGUUGUACACUGGAAUGACAUGUAGGAAUGGCAUGUUGUGUUAGCUCAGUUAGAGCGCUUUCAACGUUAUUAUACUGAUCGGCAGUAUACUGACUAUAGUCACUAUCUAGAAUAAGUCUCAACUACCAGAGUACCACAUGAAUGCUGCGUUUUCGCUUCGUUCCAAUGUGCGUGAGUGUGCUGAGUGUUCCCUGAAAUUGAUUGUUGGAUGUUGAAGCAGGCCGCACUCUGAAUAUAGACGAACUUACUUACGUA
rnacentral:misc_RNA from 1 species